UCCCGUUUAGCUCAGCUGGUAGAGCGCGUCACUAGUAACAUAAUCAGAUGUUGCGUUAUGACGAGGUCAGUCGUUCGAGUCGGCUAAUGGGAA